CCUACGGGUGGCAGCAGUGAGGAAUAUUGGUCAAUGGGCGUAAGCCUGAACCAGCCAAGUCGCGUGAGGGAUGAAGGUUCUAUGGAUCGUAAACCUCUUUUAUAAGGGAAUAAAGUGUGGGUCGUUUCCUAUUUUGUAUGUACCUUAUGAAUAAGGAUCGGCUAACUCCGUGCCAGCAGCCGCGGUAAUACGGAGGAUCCGAGCGUUAUCCGGAUUUAUUGGGGUGAAAGGGUGCGUAGGCGGCCUUUUAAGUCAGCGGUGAAAGUCUGUGGCUCAACCAUAGAAUUGCCGUUGAAACUGGGGGGCUUGAGUAUGUGUGAGGCAGGCGGAAUGCGUGGUGUAGCGGUGAAAUGCUUAGAUAUCACGCAGAACCCCGAUUGCGAAGGCGGCCUGCCAAGCCAUGACUGACGCUGAUGCACGAAAGCGUGGGGAUCAAACAGGAUUAGAUACCCGAGUAGUC
rnacentral:rRNA from 1 species